CACGUAGGGGGCAAGCGUUGUCCGGAUUAUUGGGCGUAAAGAGCUCGUAGGCGGUUCGGUAAGUCGGGUGUGAAACCUCCAGGCUCAACCUGGAGACGCCACCCGAUACUGCUGGUGACUAGAGUCCGGUGAGGGAGGCGUGGAAGUUCCUGGUGUAGCGGUGAAAUGCGCAGAUAUCAGGAGGAACACCAGCGGCGAAGGCGGCGCUCUGGGCCGGAACUGACGCUGAGGAGCGAAAGCGUGGGGAGCGAACAGG
rnacentral:rRNA from 1 species